UAGAGGUGACAAGGAGCCCAUUGGAGGUGACAAGGACCUCCUGAAGGUGACAUGGAGCCCAGUGGAGGUGACAUGGACCUCCUAGAGGUGACACAGACCUCCUGGAGGUGACAUGGAACCCAUUGGAGGUGACAAGGUCCUCCUGGAGUUGACAAGGAACCCAUUGGAAGUGACAUGGACCUCCUGGAGGUGACAAGGUCCUCCUGGAGGUGACAUGGACCUCCUGGAGGUGACAGGGACCUCCUGGAGGUGACAAAGAACCC
rnacentral:lncRNA from 1 species